GGCCUUUUGAUUAUAAUAUAAGGUCUGGCCUGCUCUAUGAUGAAAUUAAAUGGCCGCAGUAAUUUGACUGUGCUAAGGUAGCAUAAUCAUUAGUCUCUUAAUUAGGGGCUGGAAUGAAAGGUUCGAUGAAGGGAUAACUGUCUCUGGUUUUUUUCUAGAAUUUUAUUUUUAAGUAAGAAAGCUUAAAUUUUUUUGAAAGACGAGAAGACCCUAUAGAGUUUUAUAGCUUUACUUGUUAUUUAUUUUUGUAUAUUAUAGGGGUAAUAGGUGUGUUUAUUUAGUUGGGGUGAUUAUAAAAUUUGUAUAACUUUUAUUGUUUAAUGGUCACUGAUGAGUGUUAGAUUGAUCCGGAAUUUCCGAUUAGAAGAAUAAAUUACCUUAGGGAUAACAGCGUAAUCUUUUUUUAGAGUUCUAAUCGAGAAAGGGGGUUGCGA
rnacentral:rRNA from 1 species